rnacentral:rRNA from 1 species
AGCAGUCGCCACGGUAAUACGUAGGGUGCAAGCGUUAAUCGGAAUUACUGGGAGUAAAGCGUGCGCAGGCGGUUUUGUAAGACAGAGGUGAAAUCCCCGGGCUCAACCUGGGAACUGCCUUUGUGACUGCAAGGCUAGAGUACGGCAGAGGGGGAUGGAAUUCCGCGUGUAGCAGUGAAAUGCGUAGAUAUGCGGAGGAACACCGAUGGCGAAGGCAAUCCCCUGGGCCUGUACUGACGCUCAUGCACGAAAGCGUGGGGAGCAAACAGGAUUAGAUACCCCUGUAGUCCCUGUCUCUUAUAC